AUCAGACUAGCUGGGUCCGGGUCUACUCAGUGCUCUGGGAGAGUUGAAAUCUAUCACAACAACACCUGGGGAACAGUCUGUGAUGACAGCUGGGACUUAAAUGAUGCUGAGGUGGUGUGCAGACAGCUGGUCUGUGGUGCAGCACUGAAUGCCACUCAGUCGGCCCAUUUUGGUCAAGGAACCGGUCAAAUCUGGCUUGAUGAUGUGGCCUGUUCAGGAAGUGAAAGGUCUCUAACUGAGUGUCGGCACAGAGGAUUUGGGUCACACAACUGUAACCACGGUGAGGAUGCUGGUGUGGUCUGUUCAGGUAUCAGACUAGCUGGGUCCGGGUCUACUCAGUGCUCUGGAAGAGUUGAAAUCUAUCACAACAACACCUGGGGAACAGUCUGUGAUGACAGCUGGGACUUAAAUGAUGCUGAGGUGGUGUGCAGGGAGCUGGACUGUGGUGCAGCACUGAGUGCCCCUCAGUAGGCCCGAUUUGGUGAAGGAACCGGUCAAAUCUGGCUUGAUGAUGUGGCCUGUUCAGGAAGUGAAAGGUCUCUAACUGAGUGUCGGCACAGAGGAUUUGGGUCACACAACUGUAACCACGGUGAGGAUGCUGGUGUGGUCUGUUCAGGUAUCAGACUAGCUGGGUCCGGGUCUACUCAGUGCUCUGGAAGAGUUGAAAUCUAUCACAACAACACCUGGGGAACAGUCUGUGAUGACAGCUGGGACUUAAAUGAUGCUGAGGUGGUGUGCAGGGAGCUGGACUGUGGUGCAGCACUGAGUGCCCCUCAGUAGGCCCGAUUUGGUGAAGGAACCGGUCAAAUCUGGCUUGAUGAUGUGGGCUGUUCAGGAAGUGAAAGGUCUCUGACUCAGUGUCAGCAUGGAGGAUUUGGGAAACACAACUGUGGACAUAGUGAAGAUGCUGGAGUGAUCU